CUGUCUGUCUGUCUGUCUGUCUGUUCUCAACCAAAGUCAUUCAAGACCUGUUAAAGUAAGGACUAACGUUAACUGACUGUCUGUCUGUCUGUCUGCUCUCAACCAAACAGUCAUUCAAGACCUUUCAAAGUUUAGCACAAAAGUUUCCAGCACAAGUUUGGAUCUUUACCAUUGAGGGUGGCUGACUUUUCUCGACCAACCAUCAUUCACACGCAAACACUGUAAAGAUA